AUGGCUUCUUCGAAGAUCUGUUACGCUCCUUCCCUCAUUGAGUUACAGAUUCAAAGCGAAGCCUAUAACGAAAUUUUAAUAUGGUUGUUUUUUGAAAAUAGAUUAGGAAAAUUAUUAAAAUCUAUUGCCUUCAACUUUUCAAUGAUGUUUUC
rnacentral:snoRNA from 1 species